rnacentral:rRNA from 1 species
AACGAACGCUGGCGGCGUGGAUUAGGCAUGCAAGUCGAGCGAGAAGCACCAGCUUGCUGGUGUGGACAGCGGCGAAAGGGAGAGUAAUACGUAGAAAUCUGCCCCGGAGUCUGGGAUAGCGUUGGGAAACUGGCGGUAAUACCGGAUAACGUCUUCGGACCAAAGAAUUUCGCUCUGGGAUGAGUCUACGACCUACUAGCUAGUUGGCGGGGUAACGGCCCACCAAGGCAACGAUGGGUAGCGGGUGUGAGAGCAUGAUCCGCCUCACUGGGACUGAGACACUGCCCAGACAUCUACGGAUGGCUGCAGUCGAGAAUCUUUGUCAAUAGACGAAAGUCUGAACAAGCGACGCCGCGUGCGGGAUGAAGGCCCUUGGGUUGUAAACCGCUGUCAGGGGGAAGGAAAGCUUCGGCUUGACCGAGCCCCAGAGGAAGCACGGGCUAAGUACGUGCCAGCAGCCGCGGUAA